AAUAAUAAUCACAGUGGUUGUCAAGGGUGCAACAGGUCAGCACCUCAGGAGUAAAUGUCAGUUGGCUUUUCAUAGCCGAUCAUUCAGAGUAUCUCUACCGCUCCUGCUGUCUCUAGAGAGUU